ACACCCAUUCGCGGGAGUGACACCUGUUGUCGCUGAGAGGGCGUAAACGAUUGGAACGCCGACCGCCAGAACCUGUCCGGAUCAUGCCGGCGUAGGAAGGAGAUGGUGUGGUUAC
rnacentral:ncRNA from 2 species